rnacentral:rRNA from 1 species
UACGUAGGGGGCUAGCGUUAUCCGGAAUUACUGGGCGUAAAGGGUGCGUAGGUGGUUUCUUAAGUCAGAGGUGAAAGGCUACGGCUCAACCGUAGUAAGCCUUUGAAACUGGGAAACUUGAGUGCCGGAGGGGCAAGCGGAAUUCCUGGUGUAGCGGUGAAAUGCGUAGAUAUCAGGAGGAACACCGGCGGCGAAGGCGGCUUGCUGGACGGCAACUGACGUUGAGGCUCGAAAGCGUGGGGAGCAAACAGGAUUAGAUACCCGCGUAGUCCCUGAGCGGGCUGGCAA